AAAAGGACACUGAAAGGCAGCCAGACAAUGAUUUUUCAUUGUUGGUCGACACCAGCCAAAAUCCUGACCAAACAGAGGAAGAGGGAAAUGGCCAAGGAGGCGAUAAGAGAGAGACAGGUGACCAGAGAGAGAGAGAGAAGGAGGCGACAGAGGAGGUACAGAAAUUGUAGAAGGAGAGAGAGGAGGUGACAGAGGAGGUACAGCAAUUGAAGAAGGAGAGAGAGGAGGUGACAGAGGAGGUACAGCAAUUGAAGAAGGAGAAAGAGGAGGAGGCGACAGAGGGUCAGGUGACCAAAGUGAGGGAGAGAGAGCACAGAGACGGGCAGCGCAGGAGGUGCAGAUGACCAGAGGGUCACAUGAUGAGGGCAGCAGUCAGGCAAAUGAGCAGGAUAUUGAGCCCCAUGUCAGGGACCAGUCGAACACCGACAACAGGGACAGAGAGGGAUUUGAUGUUUCAGACAUCAUCACCUGCACAGCCUGAUCCUAAGUUUAUGGUAGUGCAGAAGCGAGCUAACUGUGUGUUGUCUUUUCAACAAAAAUGGUUCACAACUUUUCCUUGGUUGCAUAACAGUGCCACUUUACAAGGGGUCAUAUGUUU
ensembl:lncRNA